AGUGAACGCUGGCGGUAGGCCUAACACAUGCAAGUCGAACGGCAGCACAGUAAGAGCUUGCUCUUACGGGUGGCGAGUGGCGGACGUGUGAGGAAUACAUCGGAAUCUACUUUUUCGUGGGGGAUAACGUAGGUAAACUUACUCUAAUACCGCAUACGCCCUUCGGUUGAAAGCAGUGGAUCUUCUGACCUUGCGCGAUUGAAUGAGCCGAUGUCGGAUUGGCUAGUUGGCGGGGUAAAGGCCCACCAAGGCGACGAUCCGUAGCUGGUCUGAGAGGAUGAUCAGCGACACUGGAACUGAGACACGGACCAGACUACUACGGGAGGCAGCAGUGGGGAAUAUUGGACAAUGGGCGCAAGCCUGAUCCAGCCAUACCGCGUGGGUGAAGAAGGCCUUCGGGUUGUAAAGCCCUUUUGUUGGGAAAGAAAAGCAGCAGGUUAAUACCCAGCUGUUCUGACGGUAACCAAAGAAUAAGCACCGGCUAACUUCGUG
rnacentral:rRNA from 1 species